GCUGAAAGGCAGAACUGGAGACUGAACUUCCCUCUUCUGUAAGAAAGGAAUUUACAGUUCCCACACAGAUGGCUACAGUGCUAUACCUCCACAGAUGUGCAUAAGAAGAAAGAGGGCCUGAGUGAGCAUGAAGUUGACUGAGCACUGGCACAGGUUGUCCAGAGGCUGUGGAGUCUUCAGAAGAUCUUCAAAAGCCAUUUCAAAGAUCUGCAAAAGCUGCCUGGAUUUGGUCCAGACCCCCUGCUCUGGGUGUCCCUGCUGGAGCAGGGGUUGGACCGGAUGGAUCCAGAGGUCCCUGCCCACCUCAACCUUUGUGUGACCUGAGCCCACUUAUCAGUGGUGACAUGAUGAAUUCUUCUGUGGUUGGUGUACUGAAUGAGAUAAUGUAAAACUGCUGCAGGAGUGUCUUUGUUCUACUCAUGAAGAUCCUUUAGCUUGAACCAAAUGUGCAACUAAAGUAGGGCCAUUAGAGACUCUCCAAUUAACAAGCUUCACCCAUAAUCCAAGGCAAAAACCAUGAAUAAAAAAAAAAACAAAACACUUAAAUCUCCAUGGUGUUUCUAUUUACUUGUCUAUUUGGAGGCUGGAAGUGUUCUGCCUGUGAUCAAGGAUUGCCUGUGUUUGAAUUAAAGAUGUAGAACUGUAGCAGUUAUUAAACAGACUGUGUGCUGAUUAUUGACAAAUGACAUUUUGUUAGCAUAAAAACAUGUCUUUUAUGAGAGAUGCUGAAUCAAGAUGACUCAAGAGAAUAAAGUAGGCCACUUCACAGAUAGCUCAGCCAAGACUUUUCAGCUCAAUUUGAAGUCAAGAUCGGAAACACAAACAUAGUUAACCAGCUUUUUUUUUUUUUUUUUU
ensembl:lncRNA